rnacentral:tRNA from 5 species
GGGGCCAUAGCUCAGCUGGGAGAGCACCUGCUUUGCAAGCAGGGGGUCGCCGGUUCGAUCCCGGCUGGCUCCACCA